ACCUUCGCAGGCAACAGCAGGUCAAGCGGGCGCCCCUCUUGGGCCGCCGCGGAGUGGCCCUCCUUCUACAACCCUUGGACGGGCACCAUCCACAUGUGGCCCGGUUCAAGGCCUCCGAUCACCCCACCUACUACUGCUGGCGCGCCUGGACCUCCCGCACCAAACCAGCAGGUGCUGGUCGCCCAGCAGUUGGCGCUGCAGGUGCAGCAACAGGCCCUUCAGGCGCCCAUUCAGCCUUACAGAACCCGUACUACGGCACUCCAGCACCUCAGCUCUACUACGGCACCAACUUGGCACCUAACCACCAGUCGCCCCCCGAGUUUCAACACCCCAUGACCGGCCUCCCCUCCUCCUGGGAUCAGCAGUCGCUCGCAUCGACUUUCAGCACCAUGUCGCUCCAGCAACCUUAGCAGACUGAUUGGAUCUGGCGUCAGAGAGAGUGAUCAUCAAGUGCAAUAGCUCCAGUCCGCUGUACCCACUACCGCUUCCCACGACACGUGCUCUCAUAGGCACUUCUGCUCCUUUGCUAUGGCAUCACCGUCUCGGUGACACCCCCCUCAUGAGGUCUCGCGGCGGUCAUUCCCUCCUGUAAUAAAGCAUCUAGCUCCUUGUGUCAUGCUUGUCAGCUAGGACACCAUACUCGUUUGCCUUUUCAGUCGUCAAGCUCUCGUGCUACUACUAUUUUUAUCCCAUUCACUGUGAUUUGUGGACAUUGCCGUUCCCUAGUGCUUCUGGAUUUAAAUAAUCUACUUGUUCUA